rnacentral:rRNA from 1 species
CCACAGGGAUGCCUCAGUACGGCGAGUGAGCGGCAAAGCUCAAAUUUGAAAUCUAGCACCUUCGGUGUUCGAGUUGUAAUUUGAAGAUGGUAACCUUGGGUUUGGCUCUUGUCUAUGUUCCUUGGAACAGGACGUCAUAGAGGGUGAGAAUCCCGUCUGAUGAGAUGCCCAUUCCUAUGUAAGGUGCUAUCGAAGAGUCGAGUUGUUUGGGAAUGGAGCUCUAAGUGGGUGGUAAAUUCCAUCUAAAGCUAAAUAUUGGCGAGAGACCGAUAGCGAACAAGUACAGUGAUGGAAAGAUGAAAAGAACUUUGAAAAGAGAGUGAAAAAGUACGUGAAAUUGUUGAAAGGGAAGGGCAUUAGAUCAGACUUGGUGUUUUACGAUUAUCUUCUCUUCUUGAGUUGUGCACUCGUAUUUCACUGGGCCAGCAUCGAUUCGGAUGGCAAGAUAAUGGCAGUUGAAUGUGGCUUCACUUCGGUGGAGUGUUAUAGCUUCUGCUGAUAUUGCCUGUCUGGAUCGAGGGCUGCGUCUUUUGACUAGGAUGCUGGCGUAAUGAUCUAAUGCCGCCCGUCUGAAAAACACGGGACCA